rnacentral:rRNA from 1 species
UACGUAGGGUGCGAGCGUUGUCCGGAAUUAUUGGGCGUAAAGGGCUCGUAGGCGGUUUGUCGCGUCUGCUGUGAAAACCCGAGGCUCAACCUCGGGCCUGCAGUGGGGUACGGGCAGACUAGAGUGCGGUAGGGGAGAUUGGAAUUCCUGGUGUAGCGGUGGAAUGCGCAGAUAUCAGGAGGAACACCAAUGGCGAAGGCAGAUCUCUGGGCCGUAACUGACGCUGAGGAGCGAAAGCAUGGGGGAGCGAACAGG